AUGUACUUAGUGUCGUUUUUCUGCAGGUGUGCUUUUCCAGGCGUCCCUUUGGAACUGUGGACCCAUGGGGUUAGCGUUGGUAUUUGCACGUUUCGAGUCACGCUGGGGAGGGAAAACAAAGAAGAAAAAGGCCAAGCUUUGAAGCGUUCAGCUGGCCGAGCAGCUUUGCCAGCUUUCUACUUCCGUCGGCUGUCGCACGCCACACUGAGGUGUGUGGGUCAGCCUGGGGAGCUAUGGUUGAUUUGUGUGUCCUCGGCUUGGAAUUUGGAGGGCGCAGACCUUGGCACAGCACCCUGGGGCCCUCUCCCGUCCCAGGUGUGUGGCCAGCGACUCCUCUCUCCUCCCUGAACCCGCUGACAAGGAGCAGCGGAAGGGGAGAAGGAGGGAGUAGCGCGGGAGGAGAGGGAGCCAGGCAGGAGCACGGCAGAAGAGGGGAAAUGGUGAGUACUGUCGGGCGGCAGCGCAGAUGGUUGGGUCGCUAG
rnacentral:lncRNA from 1 species